rnacentral:rRNA from 1 species
UACAGAGGUCUCAAGCGUUUGUUCGGAUUCAUUGGGCGUAAAGGGUGCGUAGGUGGCGGGGUAAGUCAGGUGUGAAAUCUCGGGGCUCAACCCCGAAACUGCACCUGAUACUGCCUUGCUCGAGUACUGGAGAGGAGAUUGGAAUUACGGUGUAGCAGUGAAAUGCGUAGAUAUCGUAAGGAAGACCAGUGGCGAAGGCGAAUCUCUGGACAGUUACUGACACUGAGGC